AUACGGAGGGUGCAAGCGUUAUUCGGAAUCACUGGGCGUAAAGGACGCGUAGGCGGGUUGGCAAGUCAGAUGUGAAAUCCUACAGCUUAACUGUAGAACUGCAUUUGAAACUGCUAACCCAGAGUAUGGGAGGGGGAGAUGGAAUUAGUGGUGUAGGGGUAAAAUCCGUAGAUAUCACUAGGAAUACCGAAAGCGAAGGCGAUCUCCUGGAACAUAACUGACGCUAAGGCGUGAAAGCGUGGGGAGCAAACAGGAUUAGAAACCCCAGUAGUCC
rnacentral:rRNA from 1 species